CAGCAGCCGCGGUAAUGCGUAGGUGGCAAGCGUUGUCCGGAAUUAUUGGGCGUAAAGGGCUCGCAGGCGGUUUCUUAAGUCUGAUGCGAAAGCCCCCGGCUCAACCGGGGAGGGUCAUUGGAAACUGGGAAACUUGAGUGCAGAAGAGGAGAGUGGAAUUCCACGUGUAGCGGUGAAAUGCGUAGAGAUGUGGAGGAACACCAGUGGCGAAGGCGACUCUCUGGUCUGUAACUGACGCUGAGGAGCGAAAGCGUGGGGAGCGAACAGGAUUAGAUACCCGCGUAGUCCCUGUCUCUUAUAC
rnacentral:rRNA from 1 species